AUGAUUUCCCUAGUAACGGCGAGUGAAGAGGAAAGAGCUCAAAGUUGGAACCUGUUUGGCCUAGCUAAACCGGAUUGUAGACUGUAGAAGUGUUUUCCAGGCAAGCCGAGUAAAUAAGUCCUUUGGAACAGGGCAUCAUAGAGGGUGAGAAUCCCGUCUUUGGCUUGAGCAUUUGCCUUUUGUGAUACGCUUUCAAAGAGUCAGGUUGUUUGGGAAUGCAGCCUAAAUUGGGUGGUAAAUCUCACCUAAAGCUAAAUAUUGGCGAGAAACCGAUAGCGAACAAGUACCGUGAGGGAAAGAUGAAAAGAACUUUGAAAAGAGAGUUAAACAGUAUGUGAAAUUGUUAAAAGGGAACCGUUUGGAGCCAGACUGGCUUGUCUGUAAUCAAUCUAGGCUUCGGCCUGGAUGCACUUGCAGGCUAUGCCUGCCAACGACAAUUUGACUUGAGGGAAAAAACUAGGGGAAAUGUGGCCCACUUGUGGGUGUUAUAGUCCCUUAGAAAAUACCUUGGGUUGGAUUGAGGAACGCAGCGAAUGCUUAUUGGCGAGUUUUCCAGGAAGGUUUUCUGAGGUACUACGGUAUCAAGG
rnacentral:rRNA from 2 species